GGCUUCUGCUCUCAGAGCCCCCGGACACUGAGUUCAUGAGGAUAGACCCCAGGAUAUUAGUGCUCUGCUCCAAGUAGAUCAUCAACAGGAGUCCAUUUAUUCCGCACCUGAAGGGGAAGAGGACACUCGACAAGCAGGAGGUAUCUGGAGAGGGCUGCACUGGAGCAGGCCAGAGGAUUCAGAACACAGGCAUGACAUGACCAUCCUCACAAUGAUGCUAAGGAGCUGCAGAUCUACAGAAGACCUCGUCCCACAAUCAUCACAAUAGGGAUCAUACAGCUGAUAGUGUGGGCACACCUGAUGCUAAACCGAAGACAGAACCGCAGUAUAUAGGACAGGUGUCAGCUGUGGGUCUCAGACAGGACUUGAGACAGCCACAGCACUUAGAAGACAGCCAGCAGUAUAUCCCGCUGAUGCAUAAAGGAACACUGCAUGUCGGUACUACCCGUAUGCCAAUGCUACACGGUACUUUCUCCCAUCAAUUGUAGCAUUUAAGCCUCAGUCUGACAGAGAAAGUUGAGUGAUAAGUCUAUGUAUGAUUCUGUUGUGUGCUACAGAUAUAUCUUUAGCUUAACAAAUUAGCCAACUAGCCAGAACCUUGACCUCUUUACAGUUAGAAGAUUGAAAGUUUGUCAUUUAAAGGAAUGUCUAAAGUUGAAUUAAACUUGGGAAAAUGUGACUCAUUCAUAACAAACAUGAUAUAUGAGAUGUGAUCUUAAAUCCUGAGAAGGACACACUCUCUAUGCCCAUUAAAACGAGACAGAAAGUUCCAACAAUGACUGGACACUUUGGUGGAGAAAGAUGUGUCAAUACCCGAGUAUCGAGGCAUCUGGCUCAUUCUUCAUGCUUUUAGACCUUGUACAGAGCAUAACCAGUGUCCUAGGGGUUGAAGAGGAACAAAGAGGGCUGUUCCAAUUAGAAUGACUGCUACAUGUACAGGUAUAACUAGCAUGAAGCCAGGUGAUCUUGGUUCAUUCCUGUCUAUCCAGAAGGGUGGGUAUCUAGAUGUAUCUAGAUAUAAAGGCUGAGUAUUUGUCAUGGAUGAGGACAGUUGUGACCAUACUCCUGUGAAAUGGGAUCUCUGCAUGGAGGAAUCUGCCUUCAGAGUAUGACUGUGUGGGUGUGUGUGUGUGUGUGGGGAGUGUUUGUUCUAAGUGAGGACAGCUGCGGCUCCAUUCCUAUGGAGGAACCUACCUGCAGUGUACUGGCUGCAACCAAUGGUAGGCAUAGGCUACUGCUUCAAUUAAAUUUCUCUUGCCCUGGUAUUCUCAUUAGUCAACCUUGUAUGUUUAGGACCAAAGGGUUGAUUCUAAGCACCGGACAUUGGUUUAUAUGCAUAUGAAUCAGGGGGUCUGUGUGUAGGAACAAGGGUGGGGGAGAAAUUUCUCCUCAAUUCUGGAUAUUAAGGAUGUUCAUCCUGGGUUCUUGGCAGGUACUAAAGUUUUACAUGCAUGCAACCUGUUGUGCAUAUAAUAAGCACAUACAAUAGGCCUAUAGCGGGUAUUUCCCAGUGUUUCCUGGCUGGAUGGAAAGGAACAAAGACUGGCCAUAGGUGGUGGUAAAUCUCAGCUUCACCCUGGGUGAUCUAAGAAAUGUCCCUCUCCCUUAGAGUUGGUGUAUGACCCUUAACUGUGCAGAUAAAAACUUGGACAAACUCAGGCAACAGCUGACGUGAUACCAGAGUGUGUACUUGCAAAUGUGUGUCUGAAUAUCAUUAGACAGGAAAACUAAUACAAGUAUAUGUUUAAAUCUACAUUUCAUUUAAGUUGGGAAUCCAACAUUUUCUGGAGAACUGAGAAUAUGACUUUUUUAAAAAAAUCAUUUGGCCUCCUUUUAAAUAAAAUUAUAAACGUAAUAUUUUAAAGAAAGUAGUAUGAUACAUGAUCGUCAGUGAAAUCGUGAGCUGCGAAUCUUUGCUACAGGCUGGUUAUUGGGUCAGUUACCUGAACAUCUAAAGUAGAAGCAUUUGUACUGAGGGGCAGGGUAUGUUGCUUCACCCAUCAUUAUGUCAAUGUGAAGUCUGUCAGCGAGUUACUGAUUCCUAUUACAUUUCUAAAAUUUCUCCUGCUGAUACCAUUGCUUUAGUCACCAGUGUGCUUAGAAUCAGAAAAGAAGAGCAAAGGAGACAAAAAGUCUUGGUAAAGAAUAGUGACAUGUUUUAGGCUGGCCUUAUGUGUCAGCUGUGCACUACACACACACAACUGAAAAUACCUGAGGUUUGGCCCUCCCACAGUCUCACAUAGUAGGUGAAUAGAAAUUAUCUCUUGGUGAGUGAUUGGUCGUCUUCUGAUUACGUUAUUUUUUGUGUUUGGAGAAAGGUAAGAACUGAACUUCAUGGCCUAAAUUUACAAUUGGAAGAUGGUGGAGACUGUGAAGUUGCUAUACUCAGAGUCACCUGCAGCCAGCCUAAAGCCCCGUGUCUUCUCCCCUAGAGCUCCCUGGAGCAGGAAAUGUGAACACUUGGCUCUCUGGUGCUCUGGUGCAAAGAGCUGUGCUCAAAAACCUGGAAGAUGUUCAACCAGUAUUGGUCAAACGAGUAAACAGGAGUGGGAAGUCACUUUAGUUAAAGCUGUCCUUGAACUCCGAAAUCUAGCUUCUACUUCCCACGUGCUGGGUCACAGGUGAGUGUCACCUUGCCUGGCUGUGCCUAGAUUCUUUCUGUCAAUACAACUUUUAUGAGUCUGAGUUGUGCUAUUUAUCAAGUGAAUUCUAAUGAACCACUAGAUCCCUAAGCAAUGCAUGAGGUAAAGGGAAAUUUGGAGACCUCCCUUUUUCUCAGGUCACACCCAGAAGGUCCACCACACAGGUGCACUUCCUCAUGCACACAGGGCAAGCCACCCACACUUGCCCAACCUUGUAUGCAGAAACUUGAGACAACAGAGUCAGUGAUUAGCUCCGUGCAAUUAGGCAAAUCACUAAUUCCAUCCAGGUCUCUCAAACAUGAAUAUAUUAACAGCACUGCCUAACACAUUUGCAGUGGUGACUGAAUGAAGUGGCCCAUGUGGAAUUAUUUCUAACAGGGACAUCCCCCAAAUCACAUCCUUUUCUUAAAUAAAGAAAAAGUGAGGCAAACCAUUGGGGCUCCACACCACCCACUCUGACACAUCAACAAAAAGUUUUUGUUUUAAACCCUUUGCUCUACACAGGAACUAUGGUGUUCAUAGCACCUAACUUGCUGUGUGCUACAUUAGUUAAUAUACCCCAACUGUGUAUGUCCAUUUGUUUACUGCUAGUGUAGACAAAAAUCCAUGACAUUUGUUACACCAAGAAACUAAAGAACGAUGUAUACAGGUGAUAGAAGAACAACGGACAACUCUCUGGCAAUUUUAAACAAGAGGGCACAAAUAUCUACCUAAUUCAGUAGUAGCAUGGGCUGUAUUAAAUGUGAAAUAUUAAUGGCUCUGCAGCAGGAAGAGGAAGAGAGAUGUCCUUAUCUCACUUUUAUUCGUGGGGCUCCAGUUAACACUGGGAGUUAAUCGCCUAACAUAUUCACAUGAAUAUUGAAAGGGAAUGCUUUGUUUGCAUAUGAAAUUAUCUCAUACCAGGGAAAGAGAAGGAACUCUUCCCAAGAAUAUUAAAAGGGGUAAGGAACUCCACAAGGUGGCCAGACUUAAGAAAUAGACUGGGAUUACUCAUUGCUUAUUGUUUUUUCUUCUCAACAUGGAUAUAGAAAUGACACAAAUCCCCUUUUCAGCCAGAAACUCACAGAUAGAAUACAUAGAAUCCACGAGAGGCAGGACAGGAUUUGCCUGGAGGGCAGGGGUGAGGUGAGUAAAGAUACAGAAGCCUCAAGUACAAGGUUACUUGUCCAUCGUCUGUCUCUGAAUAGGUGAAUUGGGGAUUUGGGUGUCUGGUAAUUCAUCUUAAGGCUCACAACAAAUAGGCUGUCAUUGUUGUUAGACAGAGAUCAUGACCUUGCUGAUAUUAGGGCAAAACUAAGAAGACUUAGUGUAAAGCCAAUAUUACCAAAUCAGUAUGGGAUUGGCAGAAACAAGGAGAAAAACAGAUCAUUUGGAAAUACAAAAACAAAAACAAAAAACCUUGGAAAUAGCCCAUUCUUUAUGGAAAAUAUCAUAUGACACAGGUGUAGCACAUUAUGAACAUAAAUGUGGCCUUUCUAUGUGAGGAUCUACAAUGGAAAACACAGUGUCAGACCAACUUGGAAUGAUAUAUGCAGAUAGACACUUCAUAUCUAGUAAAGAACCAAUGUUUUAAGAAGCUGUAAGUGCAUUGGGGAAGCUAUGGGUAUGAUCAUUAUUGAGGACUAUGAAGAAUUCCUAGAUGCCAUAGGAAAGAAAGUUACAGAAUGGAUAGAUUUGUCUACAUUACAAAAAAAAUCAUCACUAUGUGAGAAAAGGCCCCAGAUGCUCAGACGCUUUGUAAGCAGACUAAGUAGAUGGGGAGGAAACACUUGCAGCAUGAAGACUAUCACCAUUCCCAUGUAGAAAGCCUCAAAUUUGAUAAUAAAAA
rnacentral:sRNA from 1 species